AUGUACGCACUCUCACUCUAUUUUGAAACCCGAUCCCUUACUUUUUAUCACAUCGAAGAAUCUAUUGCAUCUAUAGAUCGAAUCGAUUACAGAAUGACCAAUUCCAUCUCAAAAUCGAUAAAGUAACCGAUUGUUUAAAAAAUCUAACUUAUGUUUGGGCGAUGAUUUGCAGAUGGUGAUGAGUAAUUUGAGAGAUGAAACAAGUGUAGCAGAAAUGGAGUAUUAUGGAUCGUCGGAUGCAGGGAUCGAUGAACCGAUGAGAGGAAUGGAGGAUCCUGAGUGGGAUAUGUGGGAAGAGUGGAUGGGUUGGGAAGGUGCUGGAAUUCGAGAUUAUUCUUCACACAUUAAUCCAUACAUUUGAAGGAAUUGAAGAUCUAUGGAUUUCUAGUUUCUAAGAUGAAUCAGCAAAGGAAUGCACCUUUUAAGAUGAAUAGUGUUAAUUUAAGUGUCUGGGUCUGUAAUCUGUAAUCUGUAUAUAAAGAGUAGUCUGUAGAGAUGACUGUAUUAAUGUUCAUCUCUCUUGUACAUAAGUGAUGAGUCUAAUUUUAUGAUUAAUCGUCUGUAAUUACUGUUCAGGAAUAAAAAAAGAAAGCGUAUUCGUACACAACAAUUUUUUUCCAUACAUAACAAGUUAUGCAUUAAAGUGUUGUAUUGUACAACUCUAUAAAACAUAAUUUGUUGUGUAUAGAAAAAAAUCGUUGUGUAGGAAUCACUUCCCAUAAAAAAAUUCUUGAACUAUGAUCUUCAUCUUUUUGUGUGUGUGGUUCAUCUGUUUUUGUUUGGGUUUUUUAAUACACGCCACAAUCAUUUACAUUCAGUGAUGUCAACGGGCAAGAGACAAAUGAUUUAAAGAUCGAUUAAAGUGGAUAGGUCGAAUAGUUUUUAUAAAGUUUAACUGGUAUUAUGUAUAUGAUAAGCCGACGCCAAAGACCUUGUGGACAUAGGUUAACAAACUAUUAGACACAACCAGGGAAUGUAGUGUAAACGGAUGAAGUUAGAGAUAAGAUUAUUCAAAUGUAAUGUAGUGUAAACUCAUAAGUUAGUGAUAGGAUUAUUCAAGAUCCACUAUUAGACACAACCAGGGAAUGUAGUCUAAUUUGGAUAAGUUAGAGAUAAAAUUAUUCAAAUGUAUUGCUGUAACUAUAAGAUCCUAUGUUUAGGAUCUUGUAUUUAUCUCUAACUUUGUGACAUGCUAUAUAUAUAUAUAUAUANNNNNNNNNNNNNNNNNNNNNNNNNNNNNNNNNNNNNNNNNNNNNNNNNNNNNNNNNNNNNNNNNNNNNNNNNNNNNNNNNNNNNNNNNNNNNNNNNNNNNNNNNNNNNNNNNNNNNNNNNNNNNNNNNNNNNNNNNNNNNNNNNNNNNNNNNNNNNNNNNNNNNNNNACACAUUUAGAGAUAAGUUAGAGAUAAAUACAAGAUCCUAAACAUAGCCCUAAAAUUACUUCUUCAACUUGGUAUCAGAGCUUUUCUAGGGCUUGUAAAAUUUCUCACCAUCUUUCGGCCUUCUGAUCUUCUCUAUAGAUUCGCCAUCACCAUGUUUUCAAUAAACUCCUCCAAGAUGACCACAACCAUCUCAUACAAACUCACUCGAACCAAUUUUUUCCUAUGGAAAGCCCAAGUUGUUCCCAUAUUGCGAGGUGUUCAAUUGUUUGGGUAUCUUGAUGGUACCAUACAAAAACCCACUGCCAAAAUAACCUCAGGAACGAGUGCAUACGCCAAUCAAAUUGACAACCCCCAAUAAGUUGCAUGGGUUAAGAUCAAGCGAUUAUCGAUGCUCUUCUGUCCUCCAUGACAAAAGAAAUGCUUGCUCAGAUCACAAGAUGUUCAAAUACAUCCAACGAACUCUAGAAGCCCCUCCACACAAUGUUUUCAGCCCAACGUUGUGGCAACUCCAUUCAAAUACACGCCCAACUUUCUACAACUAAGAAAGGAGAUACGAUGGCCUCUGAAUAUUAUAACAAAAUGACCAACAUGUUGAAACAAUGAACUUAAGAUCGAUAGAUCCUUUAACAGAAAAGUGAAUCAAAACAAGAACAAUUGAUCAAAAGUCCCGAAUGAUUAUAUUAUCAAAGCUUUAGAAGAGUUUUAUGUGAACUUCUCUAUAAAGGCGAUGUAGGGUAAUACAAUUGAUCAACCUAAAAACAUUGCAUGCAUGCAUUAUAAAUAGUCUAACCCUAAAGACAUUAAUAAUCGGGUGGACAGGCCCAACCCAUUACAUUAUGGACUAUUCUAGUACAAAACAAUAUUGACACAAUACAUUAAAUACCCCAACAAUCUCCCCCUUUGUGUCAAUUAAGGAAGGUAGAUUCUUCAAUGUGGCUAACGUUUCUGGACUUUGAACAGCUUCGACUUUAAUCCAUGCAAAGUGUUACGAACCAUGAUAUACCAUUUGAUCAUAUCUUCAAAGCACUUUUUAGCCGCAGCAUCAUUCGUUUUGCAUUAUUCAGUUAUUCCCAAUAUGUAGUUCAGACAAGAUGUAAAGAAAAGAUGUUUGUCUGAUAAGAAGAACAAGCACCUCUAAACUUUCUCGCCUUCUCAUAGUUGAAACGCCACGCUCUAGUUAUCCUCGGAUUUUUCCCAGUUUCAUCUUGCAAAUAUCAUUCGGAGCUUCUUUUGGUUGAACAGAGGGUUUCUUUCGUAGUACUGUAGCAAUCUCCACAUCCAUUUUCCAACUUCUUGAAUGUAAAAGACUAACAUCCUUUUCAAAUGUGCCACUAUUGGUUCAAACUUUUGUUCAUCUUUUGAUAAAAAGAUUGAACAAAGAAAUCCAAUCUUAUAGAUUAAGGCACGACAGGUCAGCGAGAGAGAAUUCAAAGACUGAACUGCCAGCUCCUUGAACAGCUUUGAAUCGAACAUUGAUAAAGUUAUUUGUUUCAACUGGUCCAAAAACUUUCACAGCGAAAAUCUUUUUCGAGCUCCAUGUCUGAUAUUGGGGCUUUCCGUGUUUGAGAUAAAAGGAGAAAAACAAGUGAUUGACAUCGUUAUCCGAAUCAGGAGCUUUCUCUAUCUUUUCAAAACAACGAAACAAGAAUGCAUUCGGAGUGAUCGGAAAAUCAAGCUAAGAUUCUGAAGUGUUAUCCAAGUCAAAAGAGAUAACCAGCUCCAAUCAGUAAACAUUCGGAUUGUCAAUUGCCUCAUUUAGAAUCCGCUUCAUGGACCAAGGAGGGAAUUGGGCCUUCUGAGUUUUAAGUGUGACAUGUGCUUCAUGAGCCUCCUUUUUAGCUUCUUCGGCUUCUUUUGCAACAUGCUGAGCUUCAUCAAGCACUUUGUCACAUUUCCUUCUUUUGAGCUUUGCCUCUUCUGAUAAGUCUUAUUCUUCCUCAUCAUCGUCAUCAACCAAUUUUCCUUUUUCCUUUAGAUCCAGAAGCUUCAUUACCUUUCUGAUCUUUUGGUUUCAGUUGUGGUUUGUGUCCGUACUCACCAGAAUCACCAACUGUAUUUUUGGGUUCUUCAUCGAAUGGCUUCUUAGUUUCUCCCCCUUGUUUCGAAAGAGUACCAGAUUCCGAAACACCCUCGAUAUGAUUAAGCAAGGAGAAUACUGGUUUGAAUUUGUCACCCAGAUGUUGGAAAACCGAGACUGUGAGCAACGAGUCAUGAGUCUCUAUGAGAUUUUGCAACAAAAGGUUGACAUCUGCGACACAACUUUUGAGAACAACCUUUUCAGACUUUAAAACAUCAAGUUGUUGGUUGGCAUUUACAAGUUGUACUGAAAGAACCUUCGCCUUUUCAGUCUUCAUAGCGAGUUUAUCCAUGAUCUUAUUCUCGGUAGCAAGAUCUGCCUGUAGCUUCUCAAUCUUUGACACGAUGGAAGCGCUCCUCUCCGCAUUAUCCACUCGGAGUUCUGAACGAACCUUGGAUAAAGCUUCUUUCUUCGUUUGAAGAGUGGCGCUAAGACUUGUAAUCACCUUAUUCACAGCUGUUGUGUUCUUAUCAGAGGAACUCCAAAAAUCCUCCAUAAAUUGAGUAACAUCAGCAAAUAGUUUUUUGACUUUUUCGGUCAUUUCAUGAACUGUCUUCUCUGAGUGUUCAACAGCUUUUGCAAAAGCAUCGAGGCUUUUGUCAUGCUCCUUGGUGAGAUUCUCAAUUAACGCUUUGUGAGUUUCAAAGGAAUAUUCACUGUUGGACGAAGAUUUGGAUGACUCGAGCAGAGUAUCCAAUUUUUCAUUAAGGGCCUUGAACUGCCCUUUCGUCAUUGGUGCAUCAUCAUCAUCACUCUCCUAAUGAACAGUGAAUGGGUUGUAGUAGAAAUCUUGAAAUCAUCCCGAUCAUCGCCAAGAAUUAUAUCUGGAUCAUCAUCCCUUAAGGUUAAGACUCGUGUAGAACCCUGACCAACGAUAACACCAAAAACACCUUCCCCUAUAUCAGUUAUGUUGACAGUCACUUGAGGUGAACUCGUAGUAGUGGUGGUUGUGGAGGUGGAUUCGGUGUAUAGGGGAGUGGUUUGAGCAAUCAAGAUUUGUGGUUGCAAAACCCCAACAGAUACAUUUGGACAGGGAGCUAUGGUAAUGGGUGUAGAAGUAGCAAUAAGAGAAGGAACAUGAAAUGUUUCAUCUGAAAAAGGAACUGAACUAGGAAUCAUAGAUGUUACCUUCGCAGUAGACAGAGUAGAAAUAGGCUCUGAGACCAUUGGUUCUAAGACCGUUCGUUGCGAAUUUUCCGCGGUUUCUUCAGUUUCCUUCCGAACGUGUUCAGUCUCCCGAAUAUUCGAAACUGUGUGAGAGUCCGAAUCCUCUUGAGCGACAGGAGAAGGAGAUUAUGGUUUGCGAGCAACCUUCUUCACCUUAUUUUUCGGACUUUAAGCAGGCUCGGACGGUUCAACCCUCGUUUUUUGCUUUCCGCCUUUCUUGGGUUUGUUGGCUUCUUCCAUGGCCUUUUGCAUUUCAACAAUCAAACGACAAGGACCUGAUGCAGGCUUCUUUCUGUAAGCGUUGAUAACAGCAUUAUCAGUUGGAACGUAGUUGAGCAUAGAAUCUAGAAGACAUCCAACAAAAUCGAACUUGGUAGGGUCGGACACGAUAAAGUAGGAAGUAUGGAAAAUAGGAAUUGCAGCCAUUACAAAAUUAUCUGGCACCAGAAUGUUGAGGCGAGUAAUAGCCCUCUUGACGAUAACCGACCAGAACCGAGCACAAAAAAUCUCUGAGUGCCUGGUUUUGGAGAGGGUUCUCUAAACUAGCUGUGCCCAAAGGAUUGAACCAUAAUUUAGGUUAAUCCCAGAGUAUAAUCUGUAGAUGAUAGUGCAUAAAAGCUUGUUCGCACUAUCCAAACCCAUAACUCGCUCUGAGAAGCUCUUGAAUAGAAGAGUGAAAAGCCCAUUCCAAAUAGGCGGAAGGUUGGGCUUCUUGAACUUCGAUAUGAUAGAAAGAGUUCCCAAAUAACCCAUUUGGUAGAACAUCUCUAGAAUGACAGACAAAGAAACUGAUUCCGGAUCGACUAAACCCUUUGUGGAAGAAAACCCUAACAUCCUGCUAAAUUGGGCAUUGGAGAUAGUUGUUUUGUGUGAAUCAACCUCAAACGUGAUCACAGACUCAUUAUGUUGGUAGCUAGCAGUGGAGAACGCCUUAGAUAGAUGGACUAAUGAGACAUUCUUAGCCAUUGUUAGGGCUUUAGCCAAAGGUGAGAAACGAAGGCACUCGAUCAUUGGUUGGAGUGAAUAUGCGUACUUGGAGGAAUUGAGAUACAGAGUGAGCUUUUGAUUGGGUUUGAUGUUCAGCAUCACCGAUGAAGCAGAUUGUUCAGCAACAAAUGGAGUUUCAGAGGAGUUAGCCGUGGAAACUGGUGGAGAAAAUGAUGAAUAGUGCAAAGAGUAGAGAAGGAUUACGUUGGAGAGUUGGAAUACUUUGAUUGUGAUGAGACAAAUAAAACUGUCAAAAAAACCUUUUUAUACAUCAUGAUAGGAGAGAGAAAACCACGCUUGACGUUUGCGUAUCUUGAUAAAGUAGCCUUGAUAGACGUGACAGUUGUAGGUGGCAGGCGGCGUUACAAUUGACCACGUGUAAUGUUAGGGAAUUGGAAAGAUGACACGCCUCUUUCGAAAUCUUAUCCCUUUUAUACUGUCUUUUCAGUUCUGCACAUUCGUAACAAUAACAUGUUCUCGGAAUAGAAAUCAAUCAUUAAUAAUUAACAACCAGACUUUUGAAAAAUCAUAAGGAUUUUCAUGUAAGAGCGUGCCAAAGAUAAAGAAAUAAAACAAAUAAUAUUUGAGAAUUUUUUAUGUCAAUUAUAAAUCAACAUAAAAACAGUUUGAUCUCGGGCAACGAUCUCUUCCUUCGGAGUCAAGAGAGACUCGAAAGUGUUUGUGUGGAAUCCCAUUGAAUUACGAUCAUCUGUUUGUUGAGAAACAGUGAAAGGCUUCUUCUCAUUUAGGCUUUAUAGGGUGGCUUAAGCUUCAACCAAAUUCCAAAUCUCAACAUGAGUCUGAAAGUCUGGAAGAAGUACUUGUCUGGCCAGUGUACUCAUAAUAACAAGUAUGCUUUGGAAUUAUUUAAGUGGAUGGACAGUGUCACACCCCCAAACCAAGGAUGGCGGAAACGUUCGAGGGUGGAGGACUUCAUGUAUAGUAUCACAACAACGAGUAUAAUAGUGAUCAAAGUAAUACAACCAUCAUAAAUAUAAUUGAAAAAGUUACACCAAUGUAUAUGUUUACAUAUUUCAAAUCAAUAACAUUAUGAUGACAAAAUGAACUGUUUGACGAUUUAUCGUCCCAUCCACAAAACGCUGUUGAUUUCCUGUUUCACUGAAUUCCUGAGAAUACAAGUAGUUUUGAAAAAGUGUCAACACAAAGGUUGGUGAGUUCAUAAGCUUUUGAUAGUAAGAGUUUGAAAAUCGAUAUUUGUAAAGAGAUUUAUGUUACCAAGAAAAAUCCAAUAUUUUCCUUAUAAAAGUUAUGUGGUCCUAAAUACCAGGACCGAAAAUGAACAAAUAUUUGUCAUACUAAAAGAUAUAAAAGUGGUUUCAAAUUUGCGUAAAACCCUUUCUGAUUUGAGAAAACUCCCAUAAUAAAUGGUGUAUAGUCUUAAAUACCAAGACUGAAAAUAUACAGCAAUAUCUGUAAUUAUUGAUAUAAAAAGUGAUUUUAAAUCGACAUAAAACCCUUUUUGAUAAGAAGGCGUACAAGUAUAUUUCCAUACUUAAAGUAAUUUCAGUGAGCUAAAUCGACAUAACUCGCUAAUUUAAAGUUAGAACCCGUAAAUCUUAUGAUUUGUUAAUACCACAUGUGAGCUAUCAUAACCAUACUUGACUUAGACGGCCUCGUAAGGCGACGUUCUUCAGGCGUCGCCGUUAAAUGACACUUGUCACCACAGACCUGCCGGUCUAGCUGUUGCAAGCAGAUCAGGUGUGGGGUUGUCAAACCCAAUAUAGAUCUAUACACAACUAUCAUGUUCUCCCUACAAGAGACUCUGGUUACAAUUUACAGGACUUUUUGAAUUGGUUACUUUGGAAGUAACCCGAAGAGAGUGACUCACAAAUUUAUUCAUUAACAGAUUUACGUGAACUAAACUGAAAACCUUUGAUAACUAGUUUUGAAAAGUAAAUGAUACAUAAAAUAUACCUAUUAUAGUUUAUCCAAAACGUUUGUAAUGUAUAAGAACUCUUUCAUGAAAAUGCAUUAGUGCUAUGAAUCCAUUAACUAUGCUUAUUAUAGCUUAAUAUACGUGUUCUAAAUGAAUGAAUAAUCUUAUCAUGAGUGACUAAGUUUCAGUUUCUGAUGAUAAACUAACAAGGAAACACAUUCAAUAUUUAGAACUUAUUGUUAUACACUUUGCUCAACAUAAUACAAAGUGUUAUGAAAGUUAUAAGCUGUUAACUAAUUUUUAACCUUUCUACGCUGUUUUAGAAAAGUCAUAGAAAAAUAAUACGAAGUCGAAAACUAAAUCCGUAAAUUCUGGGAGUUCCCAAAAUGUUUCUAGUUUACUCAUAAUUUUUAUCAUGAUUUUUAAUGACCUCCAACUUGGGUGAAAAAGUCCAUAAUCACAGACUGGUCCGGAUUGGUGUUUGAAAUGAUAGGCAGUUUUGUAAAANUGUAUCCCCCCCCUAUAAACUUAAUAAAACAUGAAAAUGUAGGGGUAUGAACACACCAUGAGUGAUUUCAGUAGAUGGAUGAUGGAGAAAAGAAGUGUUCAACUCAAGAACACUUGGGAGAUGCUUGAAGAUUUGAGGAGCUAACAACAAAUAUGACGAUAUUUGUGUAAGCAAUCUAUCCUUUGGAUGAAGGAUAGUAGAAUAUCUAAGUGUAGGAGGAAGAUACUUACCAAAUGGUGGAGGAAAAAUCUAAGAUCAGCCCUUGAAUCUCUAAUUUCUAAAGAGAGGAAGAGAGAGAAAAUAUGUUUGAUCUUUGGUGGAAGAAUGAGAAAAUGAGAGAAGUGUGAGGAGAGAGGAGGGUUUUCUUACCCUUGACCAAGUGUGUGGCUGAAAAAUGGUGGGAAAAGUACCAUGAAAUGACUAGGUAUGAGCUGAUGGUGAAUAGUGACAUGGAGUGGGUAUGGGAGUGGUUGCUUGUGUCAUAGAAAAAAGCAAAGUCAACACUCCACCAAUAAUAUCCCACCCACUCUUCUUGGAUAAGGAUUAUACUCUAAAAACGUGAUUAAUUAAUAAUUAUGGGUCCUUAUAUGUUAAAAUAAAGUUUUGGGUGAAGAUCUCGCGUUAAAACAAUUAAAAACGAAGCUAAAAUGAAAUCGUAGUCGAAAAUCGGGAAGAAAUGCUCUUCCUGCGAGGCUUCUCGGAUUGGGCCGGAGGUUCGGUCCUCCUGAGGCUAGGCACGAGGCGAAAUGAAGCGAAACAGCAAGAGGCGAAGAGCAGGUUCGGUCCAAAAGUAGCAGGAGCGAAAUAGACCGAGAGGCAAUAUAGAGCGAGAUGGACCGAGACUCGGGUUCGGGCCUUGUGCGAGGUUCGGGCCCGAAAGGGAGGGUUCGGGUCUGCGACCUUCGGUCCGAAGGGAGGUUCGCUUCUGACAAGUUUGGCUCCUUAAGAGGGUUCGGCUCCUUAAGAGGGGUUCGGGUCCUUAAGAGGGGUUUCGGGUCCUUAAACCCUUUUUCUCCGUUCUUACUCCGUUUUAAGCGGUUUUUGACCCGGUUAAGGGUCGGAAUGACCCGAAUGACUUCAAAAAGUUACGGGAACUUUUGGGAGAGAUUUCACAUUCUUGGAGAGAUUUCUCAUAGAAAGAGAGAUUUAGGAGAAAUUUCACAUUCUUGGAGAGAUUUCUCAUACAAAGAGAGAUUUGGGAGAGAUUUCACAUACUUGGAGAGAUUUGGGAGAGAUUUCACAUACUUGGAGAGAUUUAUCAUACAAAGAGAGAUUUAGGAGAGAUUUCACAUACUUAGAGAGAUUUGGGAGAGAUUUCACAUACUUGGAGAGAUUUCUCAUACAAAGAGAAAUUUGGGAGAGAUUUCACAUACUUAGAGAGAUUUGGGAGAGAUUUCACAUACUUAGAAAGAUUUCUCAUACAAAGAGAGAUUUGGGAGAGAUUCUCGAUACAGAGAGAUAGAGUGAAAACGAUUGAGAAAGGUUUCGUGUGUGACAAAUGUGAGUGUCCGGCUUCGCAAUGCAAGGUCCGUAAACCCUUUAAUCCUUGUUUAAGGAUCUUACACACUCCCGAUGAGUAUGCAACAUUGUUUUCUCGGUUUGGCUCGUCACUUACCACAGUUUUAGGUUAAGGAGAUGUAGAUGUACGUACUUUUCGAUUUGUGAUCUCUCAUUAGAAUAGCGAGUUGUUCAGAAAUUACAUAACGUAAACUCUAGUACCCACGAGCAAAUUGAGUCGAACGGUUUGACUUGUUGACUUUAGUUGACUUUGAAUUGACCGGAAAUUGACGGUUGUCACAUCAUCCCCCCGUUAGAGGGAAUUUCGNUCGUCCCGAAUUUGAAUUUAGGCAAGGAGUAGGCAUGAAUAAUCUAGCCAAGAAGUGGGGAUACUUCCUAAUCGACUGAUUCUUGCGCUCCCAAGUGACUCCAGGUCCUUGGUUAGAAUUCCAGCGAACUUUCACUAAUGGGAAGCGGAGUUGCUUCGUCCGCUUGACCUCUCGGUCCCUGGUCACUACGGUUCUUCCACGAAGGUGAGGCUCUUGUGGAACUCGAUCUCGUCGAGGGGAUUACAAGAGUCUCGUCGGAUAGAUACUUCUGCAAGUUCGAGACGUGUCGGGUAGAAUGUGCUUUACCAAGCUCGCGGGGGUAGAUUGAAGUUGCGAGUUACAGGGCUGAUUCUGACAAGAAUCUCGAAAGGCAUAAUUAUCUGGGGUUUUAGCUUUCCACGCUUUCCGAAGCGUAUUAAGCCUUCCCGAAUUGAUGCUUCUAGAGAAAUUUGGUCUCUUAUUCUGGAGUUCUAAAGGGUUCUCCCUCUUGCUUCUCUUCCCAGUAAAGGGUUGCUCCCUUCAGGGUUGAAGUCGUAAGGGGGUUCCGUAAUUUACAAGAAGUUCCAAAGGAACUAAGACGGUAGGUCAGCGAGACCCGGAAUUUUGGUGUAUUUCCCGUCGACGCCUUUGGUGCUGACAAUCUCUCAAUGGUUUUGAUUAAUUGAAAGGGUCCUCAAGAAUUUCCACAUCAAUAAUAGUGUGUCUUAGGAAUUUGACUCUUCAAUUCCAAAACUCGUAUCUAAAGAACUUCAGGUAAGGCUUUUCUGAUCGAAUUGUUCCCACGAUUGGUUGUAGCUGCUCUUUUUGGUUUUCUUCUUACUACUAGGAUAGAAAAGCAAGUCAUUUUCAAGGACAAUGACGAACUGAUCCCAGUAAGAAUGGCGUACCCUAUUCAUUAAGUUCAUGAUUACUGCGAGCGGGUUGGUCCUAUCCGAGGGGUAUCACUACGGACUUGCAGCGUCCGCAUCGAAUUUGAAGGAUUGUCCUCGGACAUCCUUCUCCAAUACUCGCGACUGGUGAUAUUCAGAUCUCAGGUCCAAUUCCUGAAGGGUACCUCGUUCCUUGCGGUUGGUCGGCCUAUUCGUCUAUGCGAGGCGGAUAGUAAAGGUUUCUACUGGAGAUAUUGUCGGGGCCUUUGAGGUCGAUGGACCUUCGAGCAAUUUGUCUUUCUAUUUGAAGAAUAAGACCAGAGCUCUCCAGGGUGAGAAGCUUGGUUCUUCAAUUUCAUUGUUGAGUAGUUCGACAGGUUUGACCUGGCAGUUCUUGUAGCUCGGUAGGAAGCAUGUGGGUUUGGUUUACGCGACUAGGCCUUUUCGGAUGGUAGGACAUGCACUCGUCCUCCUGGGCAACCUUGGCCCGAAGUUCAUAGCAGGAAUCGUACCUGGUCCAUCUAUCAUUAACUUGCGCAUAUUGGUCGUAUGUGCUUAAGAUUGGAAAGACAGUUGGAUGGGUGACUCUGCCCCAAGUCCACAACCAGACAUGGAACAGGAAAUAGGGCGGAAGCACACAUCCAAUGUCCGUAGAAUCUUAAUUAUACAUUAUCCUCGCGUAUACACGUAGUGGUGGUAGACAAACUAUAUCCAUCCCAAACUUCUGUGCUUGAACCUUGUCUAUUGCAUGCGCGAUAUUCCCGAAGGUCUCCUGUAAAUACAUGUGAUAAGGUUUUCAGAAGCAUAACACUCCUCCGGUGCGUGUUUUGGAGUUUCGCAGCGAGAGAUGACCUGGAGAUCCGUGCUGGACGCGUUUAUGGGAGACAAAGGUUCCGAUAUUCGGGGGGUUGGGGGGGGGGGGGGGGGGGGGGGNCUUUUGUAGUCGUUAAAUCGGGAAGAUGAGGGCUAUAUCAAUCAAAAUUGGAUUAUGACAACAAUAUCCUUUUAGAUAACAUGUGUUAAGCUGUAUUCAUAAGAAGAGCUCACUAGAGUGAUAGAGUAUCUUGUGUUUCUUUUCAGGGUGUUCCGUUUUGUUUGAUGUUAUUAUUACUGUAGAUGAUUCAUACCACAGUGUCUAGCACUGGUAGUGGGUGUGUUUUGAUAGCCAGUAAUGAUACUUGAUAUCAUGAUCCCUGACACGUCUCCCUACGAUCGAGCGGUAUAUGAACGUCGUAUGUAAGUUGAGGUUGGUGAAAUCGUCGAGUGGGUGGCCCCACUUAAUUCCUACUACUAGACAUGGAAUAGGAGUUAGGAUGGAAUUAUUUGUUUCAAGACUUUAGUAUUUUGAUUAUAAUUAACCCCGAUGUAUGUGCAAAGUCAUCACAUCUAACAGGUAAUGACCCUAAGGUCAUAUAUAAAUGUCUUUGGUUUGAUUUGACGAGAGAGUAUUUUAACUAUUUUUAGAAAGACUGUGAUUUUAGCAAACAUACCAAAUUCAUUACAAACAUAUGGUACUUAAACGUUUUUGUCGUUGGAAACAUUACAAAAUUCCUAAUAUGGUUCCCUGUUACCCUUGCUGGUUUGUUUGUCACACUCCUCCGGCUCCCCCGUCAUUCCUCUCAGUUGGACAGUUUCUCUUGAAGUGGCCUGUUUCGCCACAUAGGAAGCACCCUAGAAUUACCUUGGUAUUGGGGGUUGAAGCGAUGUACUGAGUCGGGGCCCUACAGAAACGGACGGUAUGCCCUUUCCUGUCGCAGUUUUUACACUGCAUCUCCCAGCAAGCCCCAUUGUGAUGAAAGCCACAUUGGUUACACCUUGGGAGUGAUCCCUUAUAUGGUCUGGCCAACAUUUGGGUGGCAGACCCCGUGGCUAAUGCCGAGGCAUGUGUCGUCAAUGUUGUUGUAAUUGUAGGGGUGGCCAUGGGUUGUUGUCCUUUAGUGGAUCUUUGAGAUUGGUUGUGCUCCUUUUUGUUCCAAAACUUCCGCUUCUUGUUCGUAGGUUUGUGGCCCGAGGUAUUUUCGUUGGCAGACACCUGUUGGUGUUCCUGAUUGUUACCACAAUCUGUAUUGUCAGUAUCGCUUCCAUUUCUGCUGGCGUUUUUAGCAUUGAAUUGUGCCAUGACGGCUGUCACGGCUGGCGNUGACGGCUAUCACGCCUGCCGUGACUGCAACCUGAAAAGUAGUAGAGUCUAUCUGCAGGGUUGGUGCCUUGCUAGUUGGUUGGUUGCCUCUUGGUGAAGACAUAGCUCUGUUCCACGAUGAAAAACGACUUUGUUAGUGGAAAUGAUUAUAUUAAGUGCAUCCUUACGAUUUAUAUUUACGCAUAUAAUUUUUUUGCACAUUACUAUACUAUUCCUAGUGUUUCUGCUAACGUUCCUGAGACGGAUUUAUGGUAGUGGGUAUAAGUAGGUUUCGUAUGGGCGUUAAGCUUUACUCAUCUUAGGAUCAAGUUUGUCCAAAUACACUUGGCCGAGGAGUUUUGAUAGGACCCGGUGCAUUAGUGCCUGAACGAUCGCACCCCAUAAGUCUAUGAAGAAGGAACUUCUCAACAAAUUGUUUAAAGGUGAGACAAUAAUGAGUUUUUAGAAUGGCUAUACGUCGCGAGUUUUCUAACUAAGUUUAUUUUAUAUCGAUUUGUAACGUAAUUUGGUUGUUAAGGGUGUUCUGAAAACAAUUCAUAACGAGAUUCUUUAUAUGGUAAACUCAUGUAUUUAGAAGUUUUGUAUCCAAGUGAAACCUUAUACUUGAUCCAAGCUAGGUCCUUAUUAUGACUAAUUGAUGUAUGCUUAGUUAUAUAAUUAAGACUAAAUAGACCUUCGAGUCGGUUAGGUAUAUCCUAAGCCUAUCUUGUUAAUAUGACUCUAGUAAUUAUGGUUUUAGCGAAAUUUUUUGACCUAGAUGUAGGUUUACCUCACAUCCGUGCAUGGAAAAGUUUUGAUAGCAACUAGAUCUCUCGAUUAGUAUGACCACUUCAUUUGCAGUGUCGUGCUUUUACCUAUAAUAGAGUAGCACUAACGCAUACUCAUGAACCUAAUUUACCAGGUCUUGUGAGCGGUAUGAACUCUACUCACGACGAUCCAUCCCUUGAGAUGCCUGAGGCAAGGUCGAUGCAUCUUGUAGCUUUGCCAAUCGACGCUUGGCUGUAAUCAUCCUCUCUUUGAAUGUCGUGUGUCCACCCUGCUAUUCUCUUUCCUCUUCACGAGCGGCGAUAAGGUCCUAAAAGAGAGUUGGUCUUGGAAAUAGUAGUCUAAUUCUGAGUCUCGGGUACAUGAGAUGGUAGGGUCCGUAGUAGCGCGCAGUUUCCGAACUCGGAUUGUAGUCUACCUGCUUUAAUCCUUGAUGUUCGCGAUCCACCGGGUCUUCACCGGGAGGGCUCUUUCAGUCGGUCCCCCGUGGCUGAGGUCAUAGCACCCUCGUUGGUCUCUACAUGGUGGUUGUUGUCAUUGCUGUCGACAUUCAACCCUCGAUCACGAUUGCCCAACGGGGCACAGUUUCGAUGUAGUCGAAAGGUUCGCAGAAACCCUUGCUAUGCAUGGAGGAUUAACUACCUCCGAUUCCGCUUCUGAUUCUUCUCAUAACCAUUCACCAUUUCUCGGGUUCGAAUUGGGAAAGUAGGGGUUGUCCGGUAAGUAGGAUCUUACUAUGUUGUACGUGCGAGAAUUGGAGUGGAAGAGAUGAUUACUAGGCGUCUAACUCUAUAAUUAAUUACUUAUAGGGUGAUCCUUAUUAGUUACUUCUAUAAUGACAUAAUGCAUAAAAAUUACAUAUAACAAGAUAUGAUAGACCUUCGAAUAAGUGAUCCUACCCUAAGUCCACAUCCAAACAAGGAAAAGGAAGUAAGGCAAUGACCACAAAUUAUAAGUCUAUGAUUUCUAAGUUAUAUUUCCUUAGAGUAUCCACUUAGGGACUAUAGACCUAUUAUUAAGGAUCUAUUUAGUUUUCAUAUAAGUUAUGAUAUUACAAAAUACUCCUAUAUAUAGUAUUUUCAAUUUUAUGUUUGGUUCUAAUGUUCUCAUUGUGGUAGUGUUGGUAAGUUUUUAGACUUUUUGUCAUAUCACAACCAUUCUUGGGCAUGUGCUAAUCACUCCUCGGACCAGCAUAGUUGAUCAGGCUAUGCCACUCCCAAGACUGAUCAUACAUCCCCGAGCUUACAUGUGAUAUCCAACAAUCAUUACUUUUGUUUUGUUCUAGAAUGAUGUUGACCUUAGUAUGUAUGCAUGCAUGUAUACUUUUAAUAGGAAAUUAUUUAUUACUAAAAGUAUAAUUGUUUUGAAAACUUUAAAUCAGAGACUUUAGUCCCAAUGCAUUUCUAGUUUGUAUAUCUUAUGUGGUUCGAUAUACUUAGUUCACUAUAAACAAUGCUCUGAUACCAAUCUGUCACACCCCCAAACCAAGGAUGGCGGAAACGUCCGGGGGUGGAGGACUUCAUGUAUAGUAUCACAACAACGAGUAUAAUAGUGCUCAAAGUAAAUACAACCAUCAUAAAUAUAAUUGAAAAAGUUACACCAAAGUAUAUGUUUACAUGAUUCAAAUCAAUUACAUUAUGAUACAAAAUGAACUGUUUGACGAUUUAUCGUCCCAUCCUCAAAACGUGGUUGAUUUCCUGUUUCACUGAAUUCCUGAGAAUACAAGUAGUUUUGAAAAGUGUCAACACAAAGGUUGGUGAGUUCAUAAGCUUUUGACAGUAAGAGUUUGAAAAUCGAUCUUUGUAAAGAGAUGUAUGAUACCAAGAAAAAUCCAAUAUUUUCCUUACAAAAGUUAUGUAGUCCUAAAUACCAGGACCGAAAAUGAACAACUAUUUGUCAUACUUAAAGAUAUAAAAGUGGUUUUAAAUCGGCAUAAAACCCUUUCUGAUGUGAGAAAAAUCCCGUAAUGAAUGAUGUGUAGUCUUAAAUACCAAGACCGAAAGUAUACAAUAAAGUAUGUAAUUGUUGAUGUAAAAAGUGAUUUUAAAUCGACAUAAAACCCUUUUUGAUAUGAAGGCGUACAAGUAUUUUUCCAUACUUAAAGUAAUUUCAGUGAGCUAAAUCGACAUAACUCGCUAAUUUAAAGUUAGAACCCGUAAAUCUUAUGAUUUGUUAAUACCACAUGUGAGCUAUCAUAACCAUACUUGACAUAGACGGCCUCGUAAUACGACGUUCUUCAGGCGUCGCCGUUAAAUGACACUUGUCACCACAGACCUGCCGGUCUAGCUGUUGCAAGCAGCUCUGGUGUGGGUUUGUCAAACCCAAUAUAGAUCUAUACACAACUAUCACGUUCUCCCUACAAGAGACUCUGGUUACAAUUUACAGGACUUUUUGACUUUGUUACUUUGGAAGUAACCCGAAGGGAAUGACUCACAAAUUUAUUCAUUAACAGAUUUACGUGAACUAAACUGAAAACCUUUGGUAAAUAAGUUUGAGAAGUAAAUGAUACAUAAACUAUACCUAUUAUAGUUUAUCCAAAACGUUUGUAAUGUAUAAGAACUCUUUUAUGAAAAUGCAUUAGUGUUAUGAAUCCAUAAACUAUGCUUAUUAUAGCUUAAUAUACGUGUUCUAAAUGAAUGAAUAAUCUUAUCAUGAAUGACUAAGUUUCAGUUUAUGAUGAUAAACUAACAAGGAAACACAUUCAAUAUUUAGAACUUAUCGUUAUACACUUUGCUCAACAUAAUACAAAGUGUUAUGAAAGUUAUAAGCUGUUAACAAAUUUUCAACCUUUCUACACUGUUUUAGAAAAGUCAUAGAAAAAUCAUACGAAGUCGAAAACUAAAUCCGUAAAUUCUGAGAGUUCCCAAAAUGUGUCUAGUUUACUCAUAAUUUUUAUCAUGAUUUUUAAUGACCUCCAACUUGGGUGAAAAAGUCCAUAAUCACAGACUGGUCCGGAUUGGUGUUUAAAAUGAUAGGCAGUUUUGUAAAAAUCACCAUAAAUUGUAAAAAAAUCGUAUGGAGAUGUGCAAGUUGUCAUUUUAGAUCUAAGAACUUGAACUAUUUGCACCUAAUACAGUUUUGAAAACUAAAAUGUUUAAGUUGUCCAAAACAGUCCGUGAAUGGAGUCUAACUUUUCUGAUGAAAGCUGUUAGAAACGUUUAGUUAUGUUCUUGGUGUUUUAACUUGUAUCCCCCCCCCCCUAUAAACUUAAGAAAACAUGAAAAUGUAGGGGUAUGAACUCACCUUGAGUGAUUUCAGUAGAUGGAUGAUGGAGAAAACAAGUGUUCAACUCAAGAACACUUGGGAGAUGCUUGAAGAUUUGAGGAGCUAACAACAAAUAUGACGAUAUUUGUGUAAGCAAUCUAUGCUUUGGAUGAAGGAUAGUAGAAUAUCUAAGUGUAGGAGGAAGAUACUUACCAAAUGGUGGAGGAAAAAUCUAAGAUCAGCCCUUGAAUCUCGAAUUUCUAGAGAGAGUAAGAGAGAGAGAGAUAGAGAGAGUGAGAGAAAAUAUGUUUGAUCUUUGGUGGAAGAAUGAGAAAAUGAGAGAAGUGUGAGGAGAGAGGAGGGUUUUCUUACCCUUGACCAAGUGUGUGGCUGAAAAACGGUGGGAAAAGUACCAUGAAAUGACUAGGUAUGGGCUGAUGGUGAAUAGUGACAUGGAGUGGGUAUGGGAGUGGUUGCUUGUGUCAUAGAAUAAAGCAAAGUCAACACUCCACCAAUAAUAUCCCACCCACUCUUCUUGGAUAAUUAUGGGUUUUUAUAUGUUAAAAUAAAGUUUUGGGUGAAAAUCUCGCGUUAAAACAAUUAAAAACGAAGCUAAAAUGAAAUCGUAGUCGAAAAUCGGGAAGAAAUUCUCUUCCUGCUAGGCUUCUCGGAUUGGGCCGGAGGUUCGGUCCUCCUGAGGCUAGGCGCGAGGCGAAAUGAAGCGAAACAGCAAGAGGCGAAGAGCAGGUUCGGUCCAAAAGCAGCAGGAGCGAAAUAGACCGAAAGGCAAUAUGUAGCGAGAUGGACCGAGACUCGGGUUCGGGCCUUGUGCGAGGUUCGGGCCCGAAAGGGAGGGUUCGGGUUUGCAAGCUUCUGUCCGAAGGGAGUUUCGCUUCUGACACUUCGCUUCUGACAAGUUCGGCUCCUUAAGAGGGGUUCGGGUCCUUAAGAGGGGUUUUGGGUCCUUAAGCCCUUUUUCUCCGUUGUUACCUCGUUUUAAGCGGUUUUUGACCCGAUUAAAAGUCAGAAUGACCCGAAUGACUUCAAAAAGUUACGGGAACUUUUGAGAGAGAUUUGGGAGAGAUUUCACAUUCUUGGAGAGAUUUCUCAUACAAAGAGAGAUUUAGGAGAGAUUUCACAUUCUUUGAGAGAUUUCUCAUACAAAGAGAGAUUUAGGAGAGAUUUCACAUUCUUGGAGAGAUUUCUCAUACAAAGAGAGAUUUGGGAGAGAUUUCACAUACUUGGAGAGAUUUCUCAUACAAAGAGAGAUUUGGGAGAGAUUUCGCAUAUUUAGAGAGAUUUGGGAGAGAUUUCACAUACUUGGAGAGAUUUCUCAUACAAAGAGAGAUUUGGGAGAGAUUUUGCAUACUUAGAGAGAUUUGGGAGAGAUUUCACAUACUUGGAGAGAUUUUGGAGAGAUUUCACAUACUUGGAGAGAUUUCUCAUACAAAGAGAGAUUUGGGAGAGAUUCUCGAUAAAGAGAGAUAGAGUGAAAACGAUUGAGAGAGGUUUCGUGUGUGACAAAUGUGAGUGUCCGGCUUCGCAAUGCAAGGUCCGUAAACCCUGUUAAGCCUUGUUUAAGGAUCUUACACACUCCGGAUGAGUAUGCGACAUUGUUUUAUCGGUUUGGCUCGUCACUUACCACAACUUUAGGUUAAGGAGAUCUAGAUGUACGUACUUUUCGAUUUAUGAUCUCUCAUUAGAAUAGCUAGUUGUUUAGAAAUUACAUAACAUAAACUCUAGUACCCACGGGCAAAUUGAGUCGAACGAUUUGACUUGUUGACUUCAGUUGACUUUGAGUUGACCGGAAAUUGACGAUUGUCACAGAUAGUGUGGAAAUCUCAAGAAAAAUAAAAAAACUAGAUCUUUUGGGAAGAAAAGUCGUGGGUUUAGAGCUUUUCGUAAAGAUCACUCAAAAUAAAUAAAAAAAAAAUGAGAUUUCAAACAUAUAUGGUACAGACCAUAAAGGUUUUACUCGUCAAUUCAGCGGUGAAAGUAUCUAGAACUUAUUAAUUGUUCACCGUCAAUUCAAAAUUUGGUUUCGAAUAUUGGGUUUCACUCAAUUCGUGGUGAUAACGAAUUUAAGAUCAUAAACACAAAUGUUGUGUAACCAUAAACCUCAGUGGUAAUUGCUGAGAGUCUCAAGGGUUACAGUUGUAGAAGUGAAAAUAUGGAGAAAUAAUGGAGGUGGUUCUGAAGAGAAAAUGUACCUCUGUUAUACGAAAAUGACAAAGCAGUCAACUCUUAACUCAGCUGAGAAGAGUAAGGUAGCUCAAUGACUUAUGUAAAUUUAUAGCCUAUUUGGGAAGAAACGAUUGGUGUUAUCGAUUCAGGAAGGCUUCAUACAUCAUACAUAGAGUCUUAGAGGCUUUGGGCAACAUACAACAUCAUGCAUCUAUGGACACUUAACUAGUACAAAGAAUUCAAAAUUACAAACCUAUCCCCAUUGUUCUGAUUUAAAAGCAUAAUGAAUAGAUAUACCUGCAUCUUAAAUACAUGCUGAAAAGUACAACUGGAGGGGUACCAAAUUCUGAGAGAGGUCGUUCUUUUAAGUAUCAGAAGAUGUUCUUUAUUGCAGUCAUAUGGGGUUCGCGAGGAUUUGCUUGGAACCUGGCACAAUAGCAAACAGAAAACAUAAUGUCCGGACGACUAGCUGUUUGAUACAUUAAUGAACCUAUUAUUUGUCGAUAGAGAUUCAUGUUAGCUACCGUCUUGUCCAAGGAAGGUGUAAGCUUCGUUCCAAAUACCAUAGGAACCUUAACCUUUGAAUCUCCCACCAUACCGAAUUUCGCGAGCAAGGAAUUUGUGUAGCCCUCCUGGUUGAUGAAUAUACCCUCUUGACUCUGUCUAAUAUUUAAACCAAGGAAAAAGUUAAUUGGACCCAUUGAGCUCAUCUCAAAUUUAGUUUCCAUCAAUUUUCGGAAUUCAGCAAUUAAUCUAGGAUUAGUAGAUCCGAAAAUGAUAUCAUCGACAUAAAUUUAGACAAUCAUCAGAUGGUCACCAUCUUUCUUGUGAAAGAAGAAUGGGUCGACCGAGCCUUGUUUAAACUUAGAUUGCUUUAAUAAAUGGGUAAGGGUUUUAUACCAUGCACGUAGUGCUUGACACAGUAGAUUAAAUACCCUAACAAAGCCUUGCAGAUACUAUGGAAAAUAUUGGUCACCCCAUGACUGAUGAAGGGGUCAUUGGUUACAUUCUUGUCGGACUAGGGCCAGGUCAUGGAAACCUCUUCACUUCCAUCACGGUGCUAAGCAAUCAACAUACGAUAAUCUUACCUAACUUUUGUUCAUAUCUAACUGCUCAUGAAGCACAAGUUGGCACCAUGAAUAAUACAACAUAAUUCUCGACCUCUGCCAAUAAUGUGACUUGUCAAGACCAGAACACUCCACUUCGGGACUCCAACAACAAAAACAACUCUUACAAUAACCAGCGAUGGAACUAUCAAGGAAGAAGUAAUCAUAGGCUUAGACGAGGACGAGGUAGAGGCAAUGGUGUCCCCCGAUGUCAAGUAUGUGUAAUUCCAGGUCACACUGCUUUAAAACUGUAAGAACAUAUUCAAUCAUGCCUAGCAGGUUGAGGAAUGUCGUGGGGAAAUAGUGCCACCACCGAAACCUACAUCAAUGAUCCACACUGGUAUCUCGAAACUGGAGCUACGUAUCAUUUAACAAAUGACCUUGAUCGCCUCACGGUACAAGAAUGUUAUCAAGGAAAAGAUCAACUCCAAGUAGCGAAUGGAGCAGGUUUGCAAAUCUCUCAUAUUGGUCAUUUUAAAUUUUUUGGUUCAGGCAAACCACUUACUCUCACAAACAUUCUCUAAUUUCCUAAAGUUAAUAAACACCUUCUUUCUGCUUACAAGCUUGUAUCUGAUAAUAAUGUGUUUGUUGAAAUUCACCCUGAUGUUUUCUUUGUUAAGGACAAGGUCACGAAGAAAUUCCUACUCAUAGGUAAAAGCAAAUGUAGCCUCUAUCAGGUGCCAAUUAGUUGCUUAUUUGUUCGAUCUUCUCACCAGGCGUUCUCAAGUUCUCAAGUAUCUAAAUCUCAGUGUCAUCAAUGAUUGAGUCAUCAAAAUUUAGCAGUAGUCAAUUCCAUUUUAAAGUUAAAUAAGUUAGGUGUGUCUUUUGAUAACAAAGAUUUGGUGUGUGAUGCCUGUUAACGGUCUAAGAGUCAUCAAUUACCUUAUAAAAACUUUGUUCAUGUUUUGUCUUUUCCACUUAAGUUGGUUCACACGGAUGCUUGGGGACCGACUCAAGUGUCUAGUGGAGGUUAUAGAUAUUAUGUUCGUUUUACUGAUGAUUGCAGUCGUUACACUUGGAUUUAUCUUAUUAAACAUAAGUCUAAUGUUGAACAAAUCUUUGAUAACUUUCAACAUCAUGUUGAAUGCUUUUUGAAUGCAAAAAUCCGCACCAUCCAAUCCGAUUGGGGAGGUGAGUACCAAAAGCUCCACAAAUAUUUUCAGAAAACACGAAUUUCUCAUCGUGUGUCUUGUCCACAUACCUCACUCAAAAUGGUAUUGGGGAAUGUAAAUAUCAACAUAUAGUCGAAACAGGUUUGGCCUUAUUAGCUCAUUCUUCACUCCUACUUCGUUUUUGGGAUAAAGCAUUCCUUACUGCUUGUUAUCUCAUAAAUCGCAUGCCGUGUCCCACUAUACAUAAUUCAAACCCUAUUACAUGAUUACUUAAUAUAACACCUAAUUACUCUUUUUCUUCGCAACUUUGGGUGUGCAUGUUGGCCAAUAUUGUGUAAAUACAACUCACAUAAGCUUGAUCUUCGAUCCAAAUUAUGUGUUUUCAUUGGAUACAGUUCCAUGCAUAAAGGGUACAAAUGUCUUGACAAGAGUACCGUUCGAGUUUAUAUAUCACGUGAUGUUAUCUUUGAUGAAUCUAGAUUUCAGUUCGCUGCUUCCUCAAAUAGUCACACACCAUCUUCUUCAUCCGAAAGUCGUAUCAUUUCCUCAAAUUGAACCAGAAAUUACUAAUGAUCAUAUGAAGAGGUAUGACCUCUCUCUGCUAUCUAAUAAUUCUAAUGCAGCCGCAGCUUCAUCUCAAGGUCAGGGGGUGCCAAAUCUUGGUGAUUCUCCACAACAACUAUCACCGCUAACCCCGCCAUCACCAGUUCCCACGACCACGUCUCCAUCGCCCCCUCAGCAACCACUGAGACUCAGGUUUCCCCAAUUCUGAUGUCACGGGAUGCCUCAUCUCCUGCCUUGAGUGAUCAACCCAACCCUCCCCCUUCCUCAAGGGGUUCUUACCAGAGGUCGUGCUGGUAUAACUCGGUCUCACAAAUUUACUGAUGGGAUUGUUCUCUAUGAUGCUACUAAGUGUGCCUUCAUGGUUGUUCCCUCAAUGCAUCACAUCGCUUAUGCUAACUCGACAUGGAGCCAAGCCAUGGAAGCAGAAUUCUUAGCACUUCGACACAAUAACACAUGGUCUCUUGUGCCCCGUCCACCAUGCGUCAAUAUAGUGGGAUGAAAAUGGAUUUUCAAGCUCAAGCAACAUGCUGAUGGUUUCUCUUGAUAAGCAUAAGGCUUGUCUUGUGGAAUGUGGUUUUACUCAACAAUAUGGAGUGGACUAUCACGACACCUUUAUUCCUGUCGUUAAACCAGCCACGGUUCGAUUAAUUUUCUCCUUUGUGGUUUCUCGAAAGUGGCACAUAUGACAAGUUGAUGUUAAUAACGCUUUUCUUCAUGGUUUUCUCAAUGAAGCGGUCUAUAUGCAUCAACCAUUGGGUUUUGAGGAUUCCAAUCAUCCUCAUUAUGUAUGCAAGUUCCAUAAAGUGAUAUACAGGCUCAAGCAAUCCCUUAAAGCGUGGUUUUAUCGAUUGAGUGAUAAGCUUCAUCAACUGGGCUUCCGUUCGUCUAAAGCUGACACAUCCCUGUUCAUUUUUCAUCAUGGUGACACCAUUAUUUACAUGUUGAUCUACAUUGAUGAUAUCGUUAUUACCGGGUCUUCUCAACAUCUUAUUGAUAAACUAGUAUGUGCUCUUUUUGGUUCAUUCCCUAUGUAAACUUAGUUAUUUUCUUGGGAUUGAAGUACUUCACAAUUCAGGGGGAAUCACUCAUAUGCAACAAAAGUAUGCCAUUGAUCUAUUACAUCGUGUUCACAUGAAGAAUUGCAGAAGUGUUUCAACCCCAAUGUCAAACGAAUAAAUUGUCUCGUGGUCAUAGGAAGCCACUUAAUGGUGAAGAUGCAUUUAAGUAUCGUAACAUGGUUGAAGGAUUGCAGUAUCUCAUACUAACUCGACCCGACAUUUCAUUCGCUGUAAAUAAAGUGUGUCAAUUUUUAUCUGAACCUACAUAUAUUCUUUGGGAGGUUGUUAAAAGAGUCUUAAGAUAUGUGAAGGGAACGGUGAAUACAGGACUUUGUUUUAGACCCUCCAAAUCAACACUUCUAAGUGUUUUACUGAUGCAGAUUGGACAGGAUGUAUGGAUUAUAGAAGAUCUACAAGAGGGUUUGUAAUAUUUAUUGGUCCAAACUUAAUACCAUGGAGCUCUCGCAAGCAACCUACUGUGGCUUGCUUAAGUACAGAAGCUGAGUAUAAGGCUCUUGCUAACGGGGUAGCAGAAGCAACAUGGAUAUAAUCUCUGCUCAAGGAGCUAGGUGUUCAUCAGCCAAGACCACCUUUUUUAUGGUGUGAUAAUUUAAGAGCAACUUAUUUAACAGGCAAUCCUAUUUUUCAUGCUCGAACAAAGCAUAUAGAAGUGGAUUUUCAUUUUGUUAGCAAAAAAGUUGGAAUAGGUGCUCUUGACAUUGAGUUCAUAUCUUCUGGAGAUCAACUAGUAGAUGGAUUCACGAAGCCGAUGACCAAGAACAUGUUACACGAUCUAAAUCAUAUCAAAGUUAAGAUUGAGGGGGAAUGUAAAUGGAUAAGUUAGAGAUAGGAUUAUUCAAAUGUAUUGACGUACCUAUAAGAUCCAUAUGUUUUGGAUCUUGUAUUUAACUCUAACUGUGUAACAUGUUUUAUAUAUAUAUAUAUAUAUAUAUNNNNNNNNNNNNNNNNNNNNNNNNNNNNNNNNNNNNNNNNNNNNNNNNNNNNNNNNNNNNNNNNNNNNNNNNNNNNNNNNNNNNNNNNNNNNNNNNNNNNNNNNNNNNNNNNNNNNNNNNNNNNNNNNNNNNNNNNNNNNNNNNNNNNNNNNNNNNNNNNNNNNNNNNNNNNNNNNNNNNNNNNNNNNNNNNNNNNNNNNNNNNNNNNNNNNNNNNNNNNNNNNNNNNNNNNNNNNNNNNNNNNNNNNNNNNNNNNNNNNNNNNNNNNNNNNNNNNNNNNNNNNNNNNNNNNNNNNNNNNNNNNNNNNNNNNNNNNNNNNNNNNNNNNNNNNNNNNNNNNNNNNNNNNNNNNNNNNNNNNNNNNNNNNNNNNNNNNNNNNNNNNNNNNNNNNNNNNNNNNNNNNNNNNNNNNNNNNNNNNNNNNNNNNNNNNNNNNNNNNNNNNNNNNNNNNNNNNNNNNNNNNNNNNNNNNNNNNNNNNNNNNNNNNNNNNNNNNNNNNNNNNNNNNNNNNNNCCCUAUGGGGUAUUCACAACAAAUUACUUCUUCAGCUUGUAGAAGCACUUAUAUUGUAAUUCAAUAUAAACUGUAUCAUGAAGAGGAAGAUCCGUGGCGUGGAUUAACUCGGUGGAAACAUUGUCCAUACAACUAAUAGUAGACGCCGCCUAAAUCGUGGAUCGAUUAUUAUAAAAUUUUGAUUCAAUUAUUCCGAUUUAAUGAUAUUUUCUUGUUGAUCAUAUGUAGGGAUAAUUAAGGAUAUUUUCUUGUUCUUCACUAGUCUUUUUCUUCAACAAAAGCCAACACAAUCACCACCAAGCUUCAAGAUCUUCACUCACGAGGAAAACACUCGAGAUUAGGAGUUGGAAGGAGUGGAGACUGACUAUAGGAGGUCCAAGGGUGAGUUAAUGACUUUAAAUAGGGGUGAAACCCUAAAAUUUAGGGUUUUAGAGAUUGGGCUAGUACGCCUGGCAUACCACAUGUACUCCCAACGUACUAGCAUGGACUCCUUGAUCCAGACUUUUCACGACUACGCUGCACGUACCCCCUUCUUAUGCCCACCAUAUGGCUGAAUUGCGAAAGUUUAAACAACAAGGGACCAAAUAAGUAAAUUUCAAUUAGGUUAAGGGUUAAGAUAGAAAUACCUGAUAAUCAAAUGUUACGCUUAUUAAUGAAUAUAUUCAAAAUUUGAUAACAAUAAAUUACUUUCUUAAAAUUUUAUAUCGAAGCAAUAAAAAAUUUAUUGUACUUAUAUUAUGAAAUCAAAACCGAAAUAUAUAUUUAUCUUUAACUCAAAACUACAUGCUUAUACUUUUUUAAAUAAAAUAGCAUCAUAUUAUUAUUUCUAUAAUAACGUGUUUUUUUAUAAUAACACAUCAUAUAUUUUUCAUAAAAAUAAACACAUUUGUAUAAGAUAAAUGAAGAUAAAUCUUAAAAAUCACAUCAUGUAAAAAUUAAAAAGUAAUAAAAUGAUGUCUUUAUGCUUCAAAUAUUUUUAGAUAAUAGAAAACGAAAAUAUUUAAUCAUGUAUUGUAAUUUAAAUAUUUUAGAUAAAGUCUAGACAACAAAAACUAUUUAUAUAUUUAAAAAAAUAUAUAAUAACAAAGUUGUGAAAAAAAGAGCCAAAAUAUAAAAAGAAAAAAGUAAGAGACUAAAAUUGUGAUAUUUCAAAUGGGCAUUGUUUAAAAUUUCAUAAAUGGUUUUUAUACAAGUUUCGCAAAAUGACAAAAAAGUCCUUAUCCAAAAUUUCUUUCAACUUACCAGAUCCGUCUAACGAACAUCCACGAUAAGUACUAUUUAUGUGCAUGGUUUGUUCGGUAGGGAUCAUCUCAGGAAAAAAAGUUUUGUAAAGACCAUUUCAGUAAAAAACUAUAAAGCUAAAAGAUCAUUCGUGUAAUUUACUCUUUUUUAUACAACCAUAUUAGAGCGACCCAUUAUAUACUCCACAUCCUUCAACUUACCAGAUCCGUCUAACGAACAUCCACGAUAAGUACUAUUUAUGUGCAUGGUUUGUUCGGUAGGGAUCAUCUCAGGAAAAAAAGUUUUGUAAAGACCAUUUCAGUAAAAAACUAUAAAGCUAAAAGAUCAUUCGUGUAAUUUACUCUUUUUUAUACAACCAUAUUAGAGCGACCCAUUAUAUACUCCACGAAGCAAUUGUAAUUUGAAUUCAUUACUAUGAUUAAAUUAAACCCAAUAGUGGGCAUACGAUCGUUGUUUCAUUAUUUUCUAGAGUAAAUUAUUGAAAUCGUCCCUAUGGUUUGUUUAAAAUUGCACGUUUGGUCCCUAAUUUUUCUUUUGCACUUGGAUCGUCCCUAUGGUUUGAUUUUGUUGCGUUUUUCAUCCCUUACAUACAUAAAGUUAGGGACCAAACAUACAAUUUUGACCAAACCACGGGGAUAAAAAACGCAACAAAACCAAACCACAGGGACGAUCCGAGUGCAAAAUAAAAGUUAGGGACCAAGUAUGCAAUUUUAACCAAACCAUAGGGACGAUUUCAGUAACUUACUCUAUUUUCUAAUAUUUUCUUCAACAAAUUCAGAAAUCAAAUCCUCAUGCUUGAUUAUGCUUUCAAUAAACUAGCAAUAUUAGUAAAUUUUGCUUAUUAAAAAAAAAAUUAAGGGACUAUUUUUUUACUUUUCGACCCUCAAAAUCAACAAACGGGCCCUAUUAAUAAUAGAACCAUUUUGUUGACUUUGAGGGUCAUUUAUGAAAAAUAAAAAAUAGGCCUUUAUUUUUUUUAAAUAAGAAAAAUUUAUUAAUACUAUGAUAAGUUUAUUGAAAGCUUAAUCAAGCAAGAGGAUCAUGUCAUAACUCCUGUCGUAGGAUGCAUGAGGAUCUUGUUUUUGAAGUGGCUUAUUUGUUAUGUCCGAUUUAUUCUUCUUCAAUGGAAGUUUCAGAUCAUGUUUUUGUUUCUUGUGAGUUUGCGGUGAGUAUUUUGAAAAUGACUUUUUGUUGGCUUUAGAAGGUCUUCACAUAAUCUCAGCUUGCACAAAGAACCAUAAAUCGGUUGAACAAAAAUUUAUAAAUAACCUUUUUUGUAAUUGGUUUGAGAGGAAUUUAAAAUAGAUAAUGACAUGAAAAUGGUAUGAAUUUUCAAUUUUGCUAACAUUUAGACACCGUAAUUUUUUCAUGUGUUGAUUUACCCUUGAAUUAUUUGAAACUGUUAACAUUUUACUCUUAUGACCGGUUAUAGCAAGCCAUAAGGAUAAAAUGUGAACAGUUUCAAAUAAUUAAAAGGUAAAUCAAGCACGAAAAGGUCCAAUGAUUAAAUCUGAACAAAACUGAAAGUUUGUUACCCUUUUAAGUCAUUAUCCCAUAAAUAAAUUAUUUUACCUUUGUAAAACACACUUUUAUGUUUUCCAUUUCACGACUUCUUAAUAAAUUUCAUUAUAUGAUUUUAUAUGGAUGUAGGGUUUAAUUUUUAAGAUUUAAAAAGUAUAUUUGCUUUCACUACAAGAUUAAAGAGCAUAACCACCGACAUAUUUCGCUCUAAAGGCAUCAAGAGUUUUAGUAAUUACCUUUAGUGGUGACAUAUCGCAGCUAAUAUGUCAUUUAUAAUGCUUCGUUGGAACUCUUUCUUCCUUAUAUCUCUUGUUAUAGCGUGAAAUGUUUUGUAUAUAAUCGCACAAGUAGUGUCGUGUUCAUAUCAUUUUGUCGUAAAUGGCAUAACAGUUUGUAAUAUAUAUAAUGUAUAUUAAUUAUUGUAAUAUGUGUUUGCAUAUUAAUUAUUGUAAUAUGUGUUUGCAGAAAUGAUUCCCUAUAUAACAUAUAAAUUGUAACUAUAAAUAGAAACAUAAACAUGAAAUGAAUAAAAAAAACUCUAGUUAAAAAUUUAUCUCAUUGACUAGGAUUAAAGCCAUGAAAAUUAUGUGGUACGUAAUCGAAAUUAUUAAUCUAAGUAAUUUCUACCAAUCUACUCUAAUAAAUGAAAAUAUUUUUUUGGUCACAUGUCACAUUCUCAUUCAAUCUGUCAAAUAUCAUUUUGUGGUUAUUUUGAAUUAAUUUCUUUUUCACAUGUCAUUUUAUGAGUUUUUUUUUGUUAAUUUUAAUAAAUUCCACAUAAUACUAAUGUAACAAUUAAAAAUGUACUAAUAAAUGAAUAUCAAUUUCAUUAAUAGAUUUACCUUCUUAUUUCAAAAUUCUUAAAUUAAAGCUUAUUAGUUUAUUUUGUUUAUUUAUUUAAAUUAAAAAGAUAAAAAAAAUCAGUUUUAAUAAUUUAUUAUUUUUCUUAUUUUCUUAUAAAUCCAAAGUUUUUAAAUAUUUAGACAUUUAUAUUUAGUUUUUAAUUAACCCAUGCGGGUCUUACACCUAAUAUGCAAAAUAAACUAAGGGAUGACUAUAAAAAUAGAUAAUGACUUAAAAAAGUAACAAAUUUUUAAUUUUUAAUUUUUUAUAUUUAGUGUUGAACUUUUUUUCGUACUUAAUUUAUCUUUAAAUUAUUUGAAAUUGUUCAUAUUUCACCUUAUGACCGGUUAUAACCGACCAUAAUGAUAAAAUAUAUAUAAUUUCAAAUAAUUCAAAAAAAUUAAUAACUAAAUAUAAAUAAAAUUAUAAAUUAUAUGUUCGAGUCAUUAUCAAGCUAAUGAAUAAUCCACUCCAUCCUAUGAUAGGAGUUAUGACAUUCCACACAAACAAGGGCAAAAAUUUUAAAUAACCUUCAUUUCUUGUAAGGAAAAAUGACUUGAUAGGGUAAUAUACUUUUUGAAAUGUACAUAUUUAGUCCUUAUUCUUUUUUUCUUGUAAAAUAAACCCUUAUACUUUAUGUUUUGUAACAAUACAAUCCUUGUGACCAGCUAUACCCGGUAUACCGGUCAUAUACGAAUUUUCUUUUAGGAAAAAUGACUUGAUAGGGUAAGAUACUUUUUGAAUUGUACAGAUUUAGUCCUUAUUCUUUUUUUUUUUUGUAAAAUAAACCGUUAUACUUUAUUAAUAUGUACACAUUAUGUCAUUUUCACCGGAUUCUACAGGUUUUGCUGAUGUGGAAGCACAAGUGGCACUAAAUAGCAAUUAAUUAGCUUAGUCACCGGAGGUGGGUGAUCCUCCAGCAACAAGAAAAGGGUGGCGACCCUUCUCUUUCUCGUCUCUCUUCCUUUCGGUCGAACAGCAACAACCAAACACCCUUUACCUGUUGUGUUUCUCCGAUCUGUCUCUCUUUGCCUCCAUCUUUGAGAUAUGUUGCCAGAAAAAGAAGAAAUAAUCGACAAGGGGGCUACCAGAGCAGCUCAUCGCCGCCAACUACCGUCUCUACUUCCUCCUGCCUCCCCUUCGUUUUUUCCAUCAUUCCUCCUUGCUACCAGUGAUGUGUAGGAACACACAAAGGAGUCGCCGGAGAUCGGGGUCUCCUUCUUUUUCAUGAUGAAUAAAAGUUUGAAAAAUCUCAUUGUGGAUAUGUGGAUGCCACCUAGGUAUUUCAUUUCAACAAAAUAAAAGAAAUGGAAAAUGACUUGAUAGGGUAAGAUACUUUUUGAAAUGUACACAUUUAGUCCAUAUUUUUUUUUUUUUGUAAAAUAAACCCUUCUACGUCAGCAAAACCUGUAAAAUCAGGUGAAAAGGACCUAAUGUGUACAUAUUAAUAAAGUAUAAAAGUUUAUUUUAUAAAAGAAAAAUAAAUACUAAAUGUAUACAUUUCAAAAUAUAUCUUACCCAUCAAAUCAUUAUUCCUUCCUGUAAUUGGUUUGAGAAGAAUUUAAAAUAGAUAGACUAUUUUUUUUAAUAUUAAAAUGUGCACGCCCUACUUAAAAUUAACAAGACGCAUGGGGUGCAAUGAAACCAUGCCCUACCCAAAUUGACGCAUUUAUCCCAAAAUUAUCCAAUACCUGAUCCAGUUCUUGAAAAUAAUUUAUGUUUAUUAAUUAUCAAAAUUCUUAAUAGAAGGUGGUUGUACUAUAAAUGAAAAAAAAAAAAAAAUGUAAGAGCUUCAGAUUUUAAGGAUAUCCACCGAUACUGCUACACGUGUCCUGCUGCCGCAUCACUAGAAAGUUAAUUUUACUUUAAAGCCCUUUCCUUUUUCCACUCUUGUUACUUCUACCUUGUGCUAAGUUGAGAUUGCAAAUGUAACCAUAAAUGUCGUAAAAUAUUUAAGUAACAAGUUGAUUUUAGUUAUUUCGGUUUUUAACUAGCAAAAGUGUAUAUACUUUUAAUAUUUAGCUAUAAUAAUACUUUACAAGCAAAUUAUUAGGUUUUGAAUUUUAUAAUUAUUUAUUAAAUAAUAUUAGUUUUUUGUUAAUUUUUUUCUCACUAUUCUUCGUAAAACAUUAUUUAUAUAUUUUUCUAUGUGUUUCAUAUAUUUUCAUGUGUUUUAUGGUUUGCUUACAUAUUUAAUAAACUAUUCAUUGAUUUACAUAUUUGAAUUCAAAUUCUAUUGGCCGGAAGACAUUUAUCAUUUAUCAACGGUUAGGUAAUUUGGUUCACUUAUUUUCAUUAAUAUAAAUGUUGAUAUCACGAGAAAAAAAAAGUUGAUUUAUCAGAAAAUGAUGCGUUUAAGAAAAAAACAAAAUCUUAAUAUUUCCAUGUGAUGAUAUGGCCUAAAGUACACGUCUAUCUUGCCAACAUCAUUCUUAUCCAAAACCAGGAGAUUUUUAUCUCUAGGGAAUAUAAAGUUUGAAGAAAUUUGGCAAAUUUUGAACAAGUUGUCAAAUUCAACUUGCAUGCACUUUAAUAUCUAGAUUCAUUUCUUUCACUAAAAACAAAGAAAAUGGUGUUAAUAUCCAAGUCUUGCAAGAUCAAUAAAGUCACCUACAUAAAUAUGAUAUUUUCAUUCUAUAAUAUCUGUAAACAAAUCACACAAUAUUAGCGCACUAAUUCAAAAAAAAAGAAAAAAGAAAAAUUGAAGUAGGUGGGAGCAAUCUGUGAAGAAUAUAUAGAUCGUUGCGGAUUUUAUAAAAACCUAAAGUAAAGGGACUGAAAUCGUAAAUAUGAAAAAGAACCCAAUAUUGGAAGUCGUAAUCUGACUAGUACGGAUACGCUGAAAGACACGUCAUCACAGAUAAGGACCUUGGAUCCUUUAGUUUCUCUCUCACACACAAUACCGAAAUACACACUACUCUUUAUCUAUCUUGGCCUAUAUAUCGAAUCUAAAGGAUGCCAUUUCUUCUCCAUUAUUGACCUUUUCUAUCACCAAACGCAUCAGAUUAUUUAAUCCAUUUCGUUGUAUUCAACUCUUGCAAACGGAUUCGUUUAUUAAUAUUCAAAUCAAAUAUCUUUGAACGCUGUUUGAACGUUUCUAAUCCACAAUUUCACGUAUAUAAAUCAAUCUGCAGAAGCUGAUUCCGAUAUCUGGUAUCGAAAAGUUUUAAUUUGUUUUUAAGAAGAAGAAGAAAAUUAUGGCGAGUGCUGCUGUAAUGAUCUAUAGCUGUGUUUCAUUGUCAACCUCUUCAUCAUCGUCUUCGUGGGGGAAAUUGAGAAAUUCGCAUAAGAAGUCGGCGAGAGGAAGUGGUGGCGGUGAUCGGAGGUUUAGGGUUCGAUGUGUUUCGACAAGUCCUUUAGCUUCCGAUCCUUAUAAAACUUUAAGUGUUCGUCCUGAUGCUUCUGAAUCUGAGGUCAAAAAGGCUUUUAGACAGCUAGCUUUGAAGGUAAUCUAUGAACCUCUGAUUAUCCAAAAUCCGAUCUUCUCGUUGUUUAUUCAGAAAAAAACGGUUUAUAUCUGUUUUGGUUCGAUUAAUCACACUUUUUUUUUCCUUUCGAUGAAAUUUCAGUAUCAUCCAGAUGUAUGCAGAGGAAGCAAUUGCGGAGUCCAGUUUCACCAAAUCAACGAAGCUUACGAUGUACGCUCUCUCUGUCACUCUCUCCAUCUCCAUCUUUACUUUUCAUAACAUCGAAGCACAGUGACAUUUUAAUCUAAAUUCUUUUCACAGUAGGAGGAAUUCCAUCUCAAAAUCGAAUUGUUUUAUAACUCAAAUUUGGGCGAUGAUUUACAGGUUGUGAUGAGUAAUUUGAGAGAUGAAACAAGUGUAGCAGAAAUGGAGUAUUAUGGAUCGUCGGAUGCAGGGAUCGAUGAACCGAUGAGAGGAAUGGAGGAUCCUGAGUGGGAUAUGUGGGAAGAGUGGAUGGGUUGGGAAGGUGCUGGAAUUCG
rnacentral:lncRNA from 1 species